rnacentral:rRNA from 1 species
CAGAGGGGGCAAGCGUUAUUCGGAAUUAUUGGGCGUAAAGGGCGCGUAGGCGGCUUUUCAAGUGACGGGUGAAAGCCCUCGGCUUAACCGAGGAACUGCCUGUCAGACUGGAAAGCUCGAGACCGGGAGAGGUGAGUGGAAUUCCCAGUGUAGCGGUGAAAUGCGUAGAUAUUAGGAGGAACACCAGUGGCGAAGGCGGCUCACUGGACCGGAACUGACGCUGAGGCGCGAAAGCGUGGGGAGCAAACAGGAUUAGAUACCCUGGUAGUCCACGCCGUAAACGAUGAGUGCUUGGUGUAGCGGGUAUCGACCCCUGCUGUGCCGAAGUCAACACAUUAAGCACUCCGCCUGGGGAGUACGGUCGCAAGACUG